rnacentral:rRNA from 1 species
UACAGAGGUCUCAAGCGUUGUUCGGAUUCAUUGGGCGUAAAGGGUGCGUAGGCGGCGAGGCAAGUCUGGUGUGAAAUCCCGGGGCUCAACCCCGGAACUGCACUGGAUACUGCUUUGCUAGAGUACUGGAGAGGGAACUGGAAUUUACGGUGUAGCAGUGAAAUGCGUAGAUAUCGUAAGGAAGACCAGUGGCGAAGGCGAGUUCCUGGACAGUUACUGACGCUGAGGCACGAAGGCCAGGGGAG